rnacentral:rRNA from 1 species
AAUGAACGCUGGCGGCAGGCCUAAAACAUGCAAGUCGAACGCUGUAGCAAUACAGAGUGGCGCACGGGUGAGUAACAUGUGGGAAUAUGCCUAUUGGUACGGAACGACGUCUGGAAACGGACGCUAAUACCGUAUGGUCCCUUCGGGGUAAAGAUUUAUCGCCAAUUAGAUUAGCCCGCACUAGAUUAGCUAGUUGGUGAGGUAAGAGCUCACCAAGGCGACGAUCUAUAGCUGGUCUGAGAGGACGAUCAGCCACACUGGGACUGAGACACGGCCCAGACUCCUACGGGAGGCAGCAGUUAGGAAUAUUGGACAAUGGGCGCAAGCCUGAUCCAGCCAUGCCGCGUGAGUGAUGAAGGCCU